rnacentral:rRNA from 1 species
AUUUUCCGCAAUGGGCGCAAGCCUGACGGAGCAACGCCGCGUGCGGGAUGACGCAUUUCGGUGUGUAAACCGCUGUUCGUGGGGACGAAGCACUGACGGUACCCACGGAGGAAGGCCCGGCUAACUACGUGCCAGCAGCCGCGGUAAUACGUAGGGGUCGCGCGUUGUCCGGAGUUACUGGGCGUAAAGCGUGUGCAGGCGGCUCAUCGCGCCCGGCGUGAAAGCCCCCGGCUCAACCGGGGAGGGUCGUCGGGGACGGAUGGGCUUGAGGGUAUCAGGGGCAGGUAGAAUUCCCGGUGUAGUGGUGAAAUGCGUAGAGAUCGGGAGGAAUACCCGUGGCGAAGGCGGCCUGCUGGGAUACACCUGACGCUGAGACACGAAGGCGUGGGGAGCGAACGGG